rnacentral:misc_RNA from 1 species
GAGAGAGAGAGAAUAAAAAAAAAUGAUGAAAGGAGUAAAGUUAUAUAAUCCAAUUUGAAUGGCAACAAAUAAAAAACCUAAAAGACAUGAUUCGAGAUUUAAGGGAAAAAGGUGUCAUAAUCGAUGAUUUAUAAGAAUGAAAUUUUGAUAGUAUUCCAAACUCUUAUUUGGAUUUUUCAGAGAAAUCUCUGAUCAAGACCCAAAGAUAGUACAAGAUCCAUUUUGCAUCAUUUCUAAGGGACUUUUGGUCAGGCCCAAGAAGCAUUGUCUAUCCAAUUGACAGCAAUCAUUUUUGGCAUCUUAAAACAAAAGUUCAUGUUUGCCUAACUUUUUCCUUCAUAUAGAUUUCAUAUG